AGUGGCGGACGGGUGAGUAACGCGUGGGUAACCUGCCUCAUACAGGGGGAUAACAGUUAGAAAUGACUGCUAAUACCGCAUAAGACCACGGCACCGCAUGGUGCAGGGGUAAAAACUCCGGUGGUAUGAGAUGGACCCGCGUCUGAUUAGGUAGUCGGUGGGGUAACGGCCUACCAAGCCGACGAUCAGUAGCCGACCUGAGAGGGUGACCGGCCACAUUGGGACUGAGACACGGCCCAA
rnacentral:rRNA from 1 species